rnacentral:rRNA from 1 species
UUGACGGGGAGCACCACAACGGGUGGAGCUUGCGGUUUAAUUGGAUUCAACGCCGGAAAUCUUACCGGGACCGACAGCAAUAUGAAGGCCAGGCUGAAGACUUUGCCGGAUUAGCUGAGAGGGUGGUGCAUGGCCGUCGUCAGUUCGUACUGUGAAGCAUCCUGUUAAGUCAGGCAACGAGCGAGACCCACGCCCACAGUUGCCAGCGUACUCUCUGGAGUGACGGGUACACUGUGGGGACCGCCGCUGCUAAAGCGGAGGAAGGAAUGGGCAACGGUAGGUCAGUAUGCCCCGAAUAUCCCGGGCUACACGCGAGCUACAAUGGUUGGUACAAUGGGUAUCUACCCCGAAAGGGGACCGGGAAUCUCCUAAAACCAAUCUUAGUUCGGAUUGAGGGCUGCAACUCGCCCUCAUGAAGCUGGAAUCCGUAGUAAUCGCGUUUCAACAGAACGCGGUGAAUACGUCCCUGCUCCUU